rnacentral:lncRNA from 1 species
UUUUUCAUUUUCUGAAUUAAAAUUAUUUUUUGGAUCAUUAUUAAUAUUUUUCAUGAUUUAAUUGAUUUUGUGAAUAUUUUUAAUUAUUUAAAAAUAGUUUUAAGUUUCCAAAAAUGAUGAAAUUUUUUCAUUUUCUGAAUUAAAAUUAUUUUUUGGAUCAUUAUUAAUAUUUUUCAUGAUUUAAUUGAUUUUGUGAAUAUUUUUAAUUAUUUAAAAAUAGUUUUAAGUUUCCAAAAAUGAU